GCAAUUUGGUAAAAUCUUAGAUGUUGAAAUUAUUUUUAAUGAGCGGGGCUCAAAGGGAUUUGGUUUCGUAACUUUCGAAAAUAGUGCCGAUGCGGACAGGGCGAGGGAGAAAUUACACGGCACCGUGGUAGAGGGCCGUAAAAUCGAGGUAAAUAAUGCCACAGCACGUGUAAUGACAAAUAAAAAGACUGUCAACCCUUAUACAAACGGUAAGUAGAGAUCGGCCUCACAAGAAGUCAUCCCUACCUCUGAAUCUAUUAAGUAAUUUAACCA